rnacentral:tRNA from 1 species
CAGAAGAUAGUUUAAAAAAAAAUUUUAGUUUUGGAAAUUAGAGAUAAGAGUUUCUUUCUUCUGA